GACAGAGGUGGCAAGCGUUGUUCGGAUUUAUUGGGUGUAAAGGGCAGGUAGGUGGUUGCGUAAGUCUGGUGUGAAAUCCCACGGCUCAACCGUGGAACUGCAUUGGAAACUGCGCGACUUGAGUACUGGAGAGGUGAGGGGAAUUCUCGGUGUAAGGGUGAAAUCUGUAGAUAUCGAGAGGAACACCAGUGGCGAAGGCGCCUCACUGGCCGGUUACUGACACUGAGCUGCGAAAGCUAGGGGAGCAAACAGG
rnacentral:rRNA from 1 species